rnacentral:lncRNA from 1 species
GUUUCACCCUCAUACCGGACAGGGUAUUGAGGUUUAGUAAUUUGGCACUCAUACCGGAUAAGGUAUGGAGAUGGUGCAUUAAUUGAAAAUGUUAAAGGAAAGGGUUCAUGCAUUGUUUGAACAUCCCUAUGCACCCCCAUAGAUACCAGUAGGCUGAUAAAAGAAUAAAAUCGUUGUUCCAACCGAUUGCAUAUGAAAUUAUAAUAUGUGCUAUGUUAUUGCCCCUAUAAGUUGUUUUUAAAAAUCUCGCUACGGUAAGUAGACGGUAAAUGA